AGCCGCCGCGGGAACACCGGCGGCCCGAGUGGUGAUCGUGAUUAUUGGGUCUAAAGGGUCCGUAGCCGGUUUGGUCAGUCCUCCGGGAAAUCUGAUAGCUCAACUAUUAGGCUUUCGGGGGAUACUGCCAGACUUGGAACCGGGAGAGGUAAGAGGUACUACAGGGGUAGGAGUGAAAUCUUGUAAUCCCUGUGGGACCACCUGUGGCGAAGGCGUCUUACCAGAACGGGUUCGACGGUGAGGGACGAAGGCUGGGGGCACGAACCGGAUUAGAUACCCGGGUAGUCCCAGCCGUAAACGAUGCUCGCUAGGUGUCAGGCAUGGCGCGACCGUGUCUGGUGCCGCAGGGAAGCCGUGAAGCGAGCCACCUGGGAAGUACGGCCGCAAGGCUGAAACUUAAAGGAAUUGGCGGGGAGCACAACAACGGGUGGAGCCCUGCGGUUUAAUUGGACUCAACGCCGGACAACUCACCGGGGCGACAGCAAUAUGUAGGCCAAGCUGAAGACUUUGCCUGAAUCGCUGAGAAGAGGUGCAUGG
rnacentral:rRNA from 1 species